CAGGGUUCCGGCUUCAUGGAAGAGUUUGGAGACUUUCUACAGGACACAGAGAAAUGACUGAUGGACUGCCAAUGCAUAUGGACAGCUUGAAAGUCUUCCAAACACCCUGUGGCCUAUGGACUGAAGAUGGAUCCCCCAACUUUACAGAGGAACUUCGGGUGACUGUCCAGAAAGGCCAAGAUCAGUAAGAUGAAUGACAACAAGUGCUGGCAAGUAUACAAGGAAGAUGGUACUCGUUGUUCAUGUGAGUGGAAACUGGAACAGCUGCUACAGAAAUCAAUGGUGGCCGUUUCUCAAGGAGCUGGGAAUAGAUCUACACCAAAACCCAGUAGCUGGCACACUGACAUCCAGCACUAUGAAAGCUAGCCAAUACAGGUGGAGCUUCAAGGAAGAGAGCAUUCAGUGCCUAGCAGAAGACUAAAGUCCUGACAAAAGGAUUCUGCCUGUCUCACAAGGAAAGCCAAAGACUAUAAGAGAAGUAUAUGAAUGAAGGUUGGGACUGUCAAUAAUAGUCCCCAUAAUGAUAAAAUUACAAAGUCUGAAGUUCUGUUUUCCUGGGUAGACCAAGACACAUCAAUGAGGGGAAGCAAUACUAUAGAGUACUUCAGGUCAAAACAGAAUUUGCAUUUGUUCAACAGUUAACUCUCUCAUCCCUCACAAUACAAAAGGUAGGAAGGAAGGGACAGUGGUAGCUAACACUUUCUAACGAACACAGCCGGUCUCUAGAGAGUAAAGGGGUAAGAGUUGAGCAUUUUGAAUUGUUUUCCUUUGGAAGAAAAAAAAGUAUCUUGUGAAACUUUCCUCCUUUGAAGACAGAAUAAUGCUAACUUCCACAUGGGAAUGGUUAGCAUUAUUACAUUCUCUUGAUUCAGAAGAUCAUGCCACCAUUUAGGGACCUUUAGCUUUCAAAAUCACAAGCUAAACUUAGAAGUGGGUUACCUUUCAUAAAUUGCAGUUAUUUCAUGUCAUUAAACUGAUGAGAUAAUGAAAGACAGAGAUUAGGACAAUUACAAUCAAUUAAUAACUUUAACAUUCUUGUGGAUCUAAAUCAGUAUUUUUCAUAUAAUAACAGCAAAAUGUAAGUACAAUCAUUUAUUGAAUGCCAAGACAAUUAAUCAUGCAAAGAUAAUGAUUUUAAUGACAAAAUAUGAAUAUGACCUUUCAUUUAUCAGAAACUGUUGGCAUUUUCAAAAGAAAGGCUUUAGAAAACACUGUCCUAAUUAUACUUCAAGACGCUAAGAAAUCAUUUGAAUUUGUUUCUCUCAAAGAUAAGCAUCACUAAAUGCAAUAAUACAAAGGAUUAAAUGUCCUUAUGCAGCAACAUUUAAAUACUCCCCCAAACAGACACUAACACUAGAAGCUGUGCUGUGUAUAGACUUAACUUUGUACAUGAAAUUCUGCCCCUCACUGCAGCAAAAUUGGAAAUUCUGAUUCAUCUGAUGUUACUUUUAAGCCCGAGGAGAAGGCUCACUGGAGGUCUGUUACCAGAGAUAGUGAAAAGCAUAUUCAUGCUAAAGAGGGCAAAGUGAGCUAAAACUUGGACAAGGCCUGGGUAGCACUAAUUCUAAGAUGGCCUGGAGAAAUUUCGCCUCAGUCUUCAAGCCUAUGAAUAUGACUAACCGUGACAUCUAUGGCAUAUUAUCUUAUAUGAUGAAGGAAUUCUGCAAAGAUAGUUGAAGUUACCAAGUCAAGUGACUUUUAGUUGAUGAAAUGUAGGUGUAUCUCAGAUACCCACAGAAACGACUGAAGAAGAGAGUGCUGUCUGUCUGAUGGAAGAAGAGGGAGCCAGAAAGAUUCAAAGCAAUAAGAAUUUGAUACAUAGUUUGAAGGUGUGAAGGUAGAGAAGAUACUCUAUAGACAAGAGAGACCACUAAGGAAAAGUACAGUCAGUCCAGUCACAAUGACCCUACUAACAAUCGGGUUAGUGUGUGUGACAGGGUCUGUGCUUUGGCCUAUGAGACCAUAGAGGACCCACUGGAAUCCUCCAGGAUCUACAUGGCUAUGAGAUAUUGAGCUGCUAUUGCUUUAAUUUGCUGCACUUAUUAUUUGACACCUACAUGUGGCCUGGGACCAAAGCCACAUUCACCAGGGAGAGCAUGAAGCUGUGCUUUCUGCUGGGAAUCUCAGCCCAAGAGAAUCUCUGGAGUCAUGUCGAAGUCCUGGGGCACGGAGAAAAUCCUUAAUAGAAACUUUCCCAAGAAGCAAAAUAGAACAUUUUCCAUUUUAAAUGAAGCGCUUAUUUUUUGACAUAUGUUCAUUUGGGGAGAAAUUCAGGAGCUAUAUAAGAAUUUUGAGAAAACAUUCUUUUAUUCAGCCUUCAUCUUUUUCUAACCAAGAACGUACUUUGGUUUACAACAACUUUACAGGGAAUUUUUAGUAGCCAGCUGGGUACUAAUCAUUGAAUUUUUCACUCCUAACCCUAGAGACAGAGAGGGAGAGAGGGAGAAGAAAAAGAGAAAGGCUGUACGAAAGAAAAAAGAAAAAGUACUCAUUUGCUGUUUUCCAUAGUGUCUCAUUAUGUGACUCACUUCAAGACACCAACAGGAUUUCUAAAAGCUAACUGUUGACUCUAACAAGCUCAUGCAGGCAGUUUUCAGUAAACCAACUGGGGGAAAAGUGGUUUUGAGGCAACAAAAUUGAAUAACUCAGAGUAUCAACAUCUCCGCGAUCUGAUUCUGCAUUGAGAACACACAGUUUACAGGAUAUGUUCUCUUCCAUCUUUUUCAGACUCUAUUAUCUUUUCAUUUAGUGUACAAAACAAGCAGAAAGGUGUGCAAAAAUUAGCAGUCCUAGUUAAAGAGCGGUCUGUCAGUGCCUGGGCUCCAGUUUCACCUGAAAGAUGGUCUGACAAGUGUGUGACAUCUUUUCCUGUUAAACGAGUUUCUUUUGUGGCAGGCAUAAGGCUUGUCUUCUUAUUCUCCCAGAAGGAGAAUUCUGGGAAAAUUCCUGUUCUUGGGAACUGGAGUUUCAACAAUCUGUUGGCAAAAAGAGGUUCACAAGUAUCUUUCUUUAGAAUC